rnacentral:lncRNA from 1 species
AGAUUCACACAGGUACACACUGGACACAAGAACACACAGAGCUUUCCGGCAACACACCUCUGCCGUUUUCUCUUUUGUUAUCUUUCUCAUCUGAUUACAACGCUUAUAUAGUCGCACGUACACACAGUCAAGCCCUCAACUGCCUGAUGCACGAGACCCUCAACUAGCCGGAAGAAACGACCACGAGCUAGCAAUCUCACGACUCGGCCACACGACUUGGCCAUCUCCUCAUAUCCUGGAGACCACGUCUGAUCGUUAGCUUCACACCUAAGCCUAUCCAACAACCAGCCUUAUCCAUGCAAGCAUACGUGCAAAACUCUAACUAACAAUGCAUGCAACUAACUAACACUACUAGCUUUGCAUGUGUACACUUCUCAUAUUUCUC